UGCGUAGGCGGAAUUUUAAGUCAGUGGUGAAAUCCUGUAGCUCAACUGUAGAACUGCCAUUGAUACUGAUCUUCUUGAAUUUAGUUGAGGUGGGCGGAACGUGUAAUGUAGCGGUGAAAUGCUUAGAUAUUACACAGAACACCGAUUGCGAAGGCAGCUCACUAAACUAACAUUGACGCUGAGGCACGAAAGCGUGGGUAGCGAACAGGAUUAGAUACCCUGGUAGUCC
rnacentral:rRNA from 1 species